GUUUAAGCUGCUUUUGAUUGGUGACUCGGGCGUGGGCAAGUCAUGCCUGCUUCUGCGGUUUGCUGAUGACACGUACACAGAGAGCUACAUCAGCACCAUUGGGGUGGACUUCAAGAUUCGAACCAUUGAACUGGAUGGCAAAACCAUCAAACUACAGAUUUGGGACACAGCUGGUCAGGAACGGUUCAGGACCAUCACUUCCAGCUACUAUCGGGGUGCUCAUGGCAUCAUUGUGGUGUAUGACGUCACUGACCAGAUUCAGGAAGCAUUGGAAGGCUUCAGACAGCACAAGAGGGAGCCCAGUAUAAGAAGAAAUUCUGAAAUCCUGUAUCUGCUGUGGUGGCUUCAGUCAUGUGUCACUGGCAGCAGCCAAAAAUUGUCCUGACAGUGUCUUACAUCUUAUAAACACUGUAGCCUUUAGAUUUCCUUCGUUAGUUACCUCAUAAAAUGUGAGUUUUGCUCUGUUA
rnacentral:lncRNA from 1 species